rnacentral:rRNA from 1 species
CCUACGGGAGACAGCAGUGAGGAAUAUUGGUCAAUGGUCGGGAGACUGAACCAGCCAAGCCGCGUGAGGGAUGAAGGUCCAGAGUAUCGUAAACCUCUUUUGUCAGGGAACAAAGUCGGGGACGUGUCCCCGGAUGAGUGUACCUGAAGAAAAAGCAUCGGCUAACUCCGUGCCAGCAGCCGCGGUAAUACGGAGGAUGCGAGCGUUAUACGGAUUUAUUGGGUUAAAAGGGUGCGCAGGCGGUCUGUUAAGUCAGCGGUCAAGUCCCGGGGCUCAACCCCGGCCCGCCGUUGAAACUGGCAGUCUCGAGUUGGAGAGAAGUAUGCGGAAUGCGCGGUGUAGCGGUGAAAUGCAUAGAUAUCGCGCAGAACUCCGAUUGCGAAGGCAGCAUGCCGGCUCCACACUGACGCUGAGGCACGAAAGCGUGGGUAUCGAACAGGAUUAGAUACCCCAGUAGUC